rnacentral:rRNA from 2 species
GGCCUUUCGGGUUGGUAAACCUCUUUCAGCAGGGAAGAAGCGCAAGUGACGGUACCUGCAGAAGAAGCGCCGGCUAACUACGUGCCAGCAGCCGCGGUAAUACGUAGGGCGCAAGCGUUGUCCGGAAUUAUUGGGCGUAAAGAGCUCGUAGGCGGUUUGUCGCGUCUGGUGUGAAAACUCGAGGCUCAACCUCGAGCUUGCAUCGGGUACGGGCAGACUAGAGUGCGGUAGGGGAGACUGGAAUUCCUGGUGUAGCGGUGGAAUGCGCAGAUAUCAGGAGGAACACCGAUGGCGAAGGCAGGUCUCUGGGCCGCAACUGACGCUGAGGAGCGAAAGCAUGGGGAGCGAACAGGAUUAGAUACCCUGGUAGUCCAUGCCGUAAACGUUGGGCACUAGGUGUGGGGCUCAUUCCACGAGUUCCGUGCCGCAGCAAACGCAUUAAGUGCCCCGCCUGGGGAGUACGGCCGCAAGGCUAAAACUCAAAGGAAUUGACGGGGGCCCGCACAAGCGGCGGAGCAUGCGGAUUAAUUCGAUGCAACGCGAAGAACCUUACCAAGGCUUGACAUGCACGAGAAGCCACCAGAGAUGGUGGUCUCUUUGGACACUCGUGCACAGGUGGUGCAUGGUUGUCGUCAGCUCGUGUCGUGAGAUGUUGGGUUAAGUCCCGCAACGAGCGCAACCCUCGUCCCAUGUUGCCAGCGGGUUAUGCCGGGGACUCAUGGGAGACUGCCGGGGUCAACUCGGAGGAAGGUGGGGAUGACGUCAAAUCAUCAUGCCCCUUAUGUCUUGGGCUUCACGCAUGCUACAAUGGCCGGUACAAAGGGCUGCGAUACCGUAAGGUGGAGCGAAUCCCAAAAAGCCGGUCUCAGUUCGGAUUGGGGUCUGCAACUCGACCCCAUGAAGUCGGAGUCGCUAGUAAUCGCAGAUCAGCAACGCUGCGGUGAAUACGUUCCCGGGCCUUGUACACACCGCCCGUCAAGUCACGAAAGUCGGUAACACCCGAAGCCCAUGGCCCAACCGUCGCGGGGGAGUGUCGAAGGUGAACUGGCAG